ACAUUCUGAUUUCUGAGCAUCUACUUUUCUGCCUUUUGUAAUUCCGAGUUUUUCAAAGGAAAGCAAAUCACGUCUCUCACACUUAAGGCCCAGGGAACACUGUGGAAGAGGGGCAGAGGGAUUGGUAAAGCCAGGGCCAUGGGAAUUUUCCUACGAGACUCCUUUUCCUAGUAAUUGCAGAAGCUACACUCACAAAGUCUCACUAAUAUGACUAAAUGUGACCUUGAGAGUGACAGUGACAAUACACAUGCCAAGGAGGAUGAGGGAAAGACCACAAGAACAAAGCUAUAGGCAACCAAAGAAUGCUGAGAGUAGGAGAAAUUGCCUUCUUUGAGGAAGAGUGCACCAACUGUGUAUCCAAUACCAAUGGGCUUCAAAACUGGAGGUCUGGGCUCUUCUGGGCACAUAAUCUGUGGGCGGCCAUGUUUGAAUGACCUCCACCCUCUUUCUUCUUACCUCCAUCUUGGUUAUCUUUCCCUCUCAGCGUGCUGUUAACACAUCACACAAAACAGUACAGUUGUACCUCGGUAUUCC
rnacentral:sRNA from 1 species